rnacentral:rRNA from 1 species
CCUACGGGGGGCAGCAGUGAGGAAUAUUGGUCAAUGGGCGCGAGCCUGAACCAGCCAAGUCGCGUGAGGGAAGACGGUCCUAUGGAUUGUAAACCUCUUUUGUCGGGGAGCAAAAGACGCCACGCGUGGCGUUCCGAGAGUACCCGAAGAAAAAGCAUCGGCAAACUCGGUGCCAGCAGCCGCGGUAAUACGGAGGAUGCGAGCGUUAUCCGGUUUUAUUGGGUUAAAAGGGUGCGCAGGCGGAAGAUCAAGUCAGCGGUAAAAUUGAGAGGCUCAACCUCUUCGAGCCGUUGAAACUGGUUAUCUUGAGUGAGUGAGAGGUAUGCGGAAUGCGUGGUGUAGCGGUGAAAUGCAUAGAUAUCACGCAGAACUCCGAUUGCGAAGGCAGCAUACCGGCGCUCAACUGACGCUCAUGCACGAAAGUGUGGGUAUCGAACAGGAUUAGAUACCCUGGUAGUC